UCGGGAAUUUUGGGCAAUGGGCGAAAGCCUGACCCAGCAACGCCGCGUGAGGGAUGAAGGCCCUCGGGUCGUAAACCUCUGUCGGGAGGGAAGAACGUUGGCCGGGUGAACAAUCCGGUCGACUGACGGUACCUCCAAAGGAAGCACCGGCUAACUCCGUGCCAGCAGCCGCGGUAAUACGGAGGGUGCAAGCGUUGUUCGGAAUCAUUGGGCGUAAAGCGCGUGUAGGCGGCUUGGUAAGUCGGGUGUGAAAGCCCGGGGCCCAACCCCGGAAUUGCAUUCGAAACUGCCUCGCUAGAGUCCCGGAGGGGAAGGCGGAAUUCCCGGUGUAGAGGUGAAAUUCGUAGAUAUCGGGAGGAACACCAGUGGCGAAGGCGGCCUUCUGGACGGUGACUGACGCUGAGACGCGAAAGCGUGGGGAGCAAACAGGAUUAGAUACCCCCGUAGUCC
rnacentral:rRNA from 1 species